AGAGAGAGAGAGAGAGAGAGAGAGAGAGAGAGAGAGAGAGAGAAUAAAAAAUGAAGGUUGAGAGACAGAGAAAAUGGUAAUAGAGGAAGAUCAGAAGGAAGAAAGGAUGGGAUGGAGAGAGUGGGAGAAGAAAGCAGGAAGAGAGAGAUGAACAGAGAGAAGAAUACACACAAGCGAUACGCUUAUUGCUGCUGUUUUUGCUAAUUACGAACACCACGAAGCAAUUAAAACAAUUCUGGGACAAAACUCUGGAAAAAGAGUCCAAAAAUGAUUCCAUGACAUGAUUCCAAGAUGUGAACGUCCCACAGAGUGACAUUAAAUCCGUUAUUACACAGAAGAAAAGAAUACGGAAGAGCCGUGAACCUGCCGGAAGUCAGCGAGUGUGUACAGAGGGGAUUAGUCAGAGGAGAAACACCACUGUAUCCUAUAUUCAAACUAAGGCAGGGCUAAUUGAUCGAGGGACACACACUUUCACAAAGAGAGAGAGAGAGAGAGAGAGAGAGAGAGAGAGGGGGGAAAGACCGGACAUCUGCAUGAGAGGAUCUCAUUCUACACACCGGCGUUAAAACGACAAGAAACAAACACACACUCGUCCGCCAGCAUAUGCUUGAUUAUUAUCCGUGAAGGAGGGAUGAAAGGACAGAGGGAUGGGUGGACGAGUGUGGCGGAUGGCGACCAUUACGGCUCAUUGUGGCCCAACGGCACGAGCCGAGAGAAAAGCUGAAGCGUGUGUGCCCUGCCCCUCCCCCUCCCCGUGCCCUGCCCCUCCCCCUCCCCGUGCCCUGCCCCUCCUCCACCUGGUUCCCUAUUCAACAGUUGCUACUUGAUUCUGACAGGAUUUUCCACACGCCAGCUGCCGACCACUGUGUGUGUGUGUGUGUGUGUGUGUGUGUGUGUGUGUGUGUGUGUGUGUGUGUGUGAGUCAGUGGGACCACCACUUCUGUCAACCAUAGCAGGCCACGCCCCUUUCUUGAACCUGAAAGUGAUUCAGCUUUCUAACAAAUACUGCGCGAGCAGAAAGGGCGGAACUUGUGGCAGUUAAUGUGGGGAAAUCAAUAAAUAAAUGGCUGCAGACGAUGCCUGUGACACAUCUGUAACACGAAAGAAAAAAAAAAAAGAAGAAGAAGAA